rnacentral:rRNA from 1 species
UACGUAGGGUGCGAGCGUUGUCCGGAUUUAUUGGGCGUAAAGGGCUCGUAGGCGGCGUGUCGCGUCGGGAGUGAAAGACCGGGGCUUAACCCCGGUUCUGCUUCCGGUACGGGCAUGCUGGAGUGUGGCAGGGGAGACUGGAAUUCCUGGUGUAGCGGUAAAAUGUGUAGAUAUAUGGAAGAACAUCAAUAACGGCGAAGGCAGUUAACUAUUCUGUUACUGACGUUGAGGCACGAAAGCGUGGGGAGCAAAAAGG